rnacentral:ncRNA from 1 species
AGAACUGAUAUUCCGACAGGUGGAAUGACGGAGUAACGUCCCGAAACGCCUGCCUUAAUACUGCGAUAUGCGUUGAUUUUUGCAGUAAAAAUCAUGGUAUAAAGCUCGCAGAAGUCGGCAGAAGUACACCCAAACAGUAAGGCUGUGGAAAUUGUUCCAGAGGUGGAAUAUGUGUAUGAUAUGCCGGAGGUCUAUAAA